rnacentral:misc_RNA from 1 species
UACGUAGGGUGCGAGCGUUAAUCGGAAUUACUGGGCGUAAAGCGUGCGCAGGCGGUUGUGCAAGACAGGCGUGAAAUCCCCGGGCUUAACCUGGGAACUGCGUUUGUGACUGCACGACUAGAGUACGGCAGAGGGGGGUGGAAUUCCACGUGUAGCAGUGAAAUACGUAGAGAUGUGGAGGAACACCGAUGGCGAAGGCAGCCCCCUGGGUCAACACUGACGCUCAUGCACGAAAGCGUGGGGAGCAAACAGG